rnacentral:rRNA from 1 species
AAUGAUUGAUUUAAUAGCCGCAGUAUCUUGACUGUGCAAAGGUAGCAUAAUAAAUUGUCUUUUAAUUGGAGACUGGAAUGAAUGAUAGGAUGUGAUAAAUGCUGUCUUUAUGGUAACUGAUUGAAAUUUACUUUUUGAUGAAAAGGUUAAGAUUUAGCUGGUAGACGAGAAGACCCUAUCAAGCUUAAUUUUAUAAAUUAUUUUACUUUGUUUAGAUUGGAAGGUGAAUAUAUGAAUAAAAUUUUGUUGGGGCAAUGUUUGAAUAUAAUGUAAUUUUUUAUUUUUUAUUAGAAUUUGAUCCAUUUUUAGUGACUAAAAGAGUAAGUUACUGUAGGGAUAACAGCGUAAUUGAUUUGGAGAGUUCAUAUUGGUAAAUUAGAUUGCGACCUCGAUGUUGGUUUAAUGAUUCUUUAGGGUGCAGUAGUUCUAUAAGAA